AUUAGAUACCCUGGGUAGUCCACGCUGUAAACGAUGAUGACUAGGUGUGGGGGGACUGACCCCUUCCGUGCCGGAGUUAACACAAUAAGUCAUCCACCUGGGGAGUACGGCCGCAAGGCUGAAACUCAAAGGAAUUGACGGGGGCCCGCACAAGCAGUGGAGUAUGUGGUUUAAUUCGAAGCAACGCGAAGAACCUUACCAGGUCUUGACAUCCCGCGAAUAGCUUAGAGAUAAGUGAAGCUCUUCGGAGCGCGGAGACAGGUGGUGCAUGGUUGUCGUCAGCUCGUGUCGUGAGAUGUUGGGUUAAGUCCCGCAACGAGCGCAACCCUUAUUGCUAGUUGCUACGCAAGAGCACUCUAGUGAGACUGCCGUUGACAAAACGGAGGAAGGUGGGGAUGAUGUCAAACCAUCAUGCCCCUUAUGACCUGGGCUACACACGUACUACAAUGGCGUCGAACAGAGGGAAGCAAAGCCGCGAGGUGGAGCGAAUCCCGAAAAGGCGUCUCAGUUCGGAUUGCAGGCUGCAACCCGCCUGCAUGAAGUCGGAAUUGCUAGUAAUCGCGGAUCAGCAUGCCGCGGUGAAUACGUUCCCGGGCCUUGUACACACCGCCCGUCACACCAUGAGAGCCGGUAACACCCGAAGUCAGGAGCCUAACCGCAAGGGGGGCACUGCCGAAGGUGGGAUUGGUGAUUAGGGUGAAGUCGUAACAAGGUAAC
rnacentral:rRNA from 1 species